rnacentral:ncRNA from 1 species
UGACCUCGGAUCAGGUAGGGAUACCCGCUGAACUUAAGCAUAUCAAUAAGCGGAGGAAAAGAAACCAACCGGGAUUGCCUCAGUAACGGCGAGUGAAGCGGCAAGAGCUCAAAUUUGAAAGCUGGCUCCUUCGGGGUCCGCAUUGUAAUUUGCAGAGGAUGCUUCGGGUGCGGCCCCUGUCUAAGUGCCCUGGAACGGCCGUCAGAGAGGGUGAGAAUCCCGUCUGGGAUGGGGUGUCCGCGCCCGUGUGAAGCUCCUUCGACGAGUCGAGUUGUUUGGGAAUGCAGCUCUAAAUGGGUGGUAAAUUUCAUCUAAAGCUAAAUACUGGCCGGAGACCGAUAGCGCACAAGUAGAGUGAUCGAAAGAUGAAAAGCACUUUGAAAAGAGAGUUAAAAAGCACGUGAAAUUGUUGAAAGGGAAGCGCUUGCGACCAGACUCGCCUCCAGGGUUCAGCCGGCAUUCGUGCCGGUGUACUUCCCUGGGGGCGGGCCAGCGUCGGUUUGGGCGGCCGGUCAAAGGCUCCCGGAAUGUAGUGCCCUCCGGGGCACCUUAUAGCCGGGAGUGCAAUGCGGCCAGCCUGGACCGAGGAACGCGCUUCGGCAC